UGCCCUAGUAACGGCGAGUGAAGCGGCAACAGCUCAAAUUUGAAAUCUGGCCUCGGCCCGAGUUGUAAUUUGCAGAGGAUGCUUCUGGCGCGGUGCCUUCCGAGUUCCCUGGAACGGGACGCCACAGAGGGUGAGAGCCCCGUAUGGUCGGACACCAAGCCUGUGUGAAGCUCCUUCGACGAGUCGAGUAGUUUGGGAAUGCUGCUCUAAAUGGGAGGUAAAUCUCUUCUAAAGCUAAAUACCGGCCAGAGACCGAUAGCGCACAAGUAGAGUGAUCGAAAGAUGAAAAGCACCUUGAAAAGGGGGUUAAAUAGUACGUGAAAUUGUUGAAAGGGAAGCACUUAUGACCAGACUUGGGCCGGGCGGCUCAUCAGGGGUUCUCCCCUGUGCACUCCGCCCGGCACAGGCCAGCAUCGGUUCUCGUGGGGGGAUAAGACCGACAGGAACGUAGCACCCUCCGGGGUGUGUUAUAGCCUGGCGGACGAUACCCCCGUGGGGACCGAGGUCCGCGCUCCGCAAGGAUGCUGGCGUAAUGGUCAUCAGUGACCCGUCUUGAAACACGGACCAAGGAGUCGUCCAUUAGAGCGAGCGUUUGGGUGUAAAACCCGCACGCGUAAUGAAAGUGAACGCAGGUGAGAGCUUCGGCGCAUCAUCGACCGAUCCUGAUGUUCUCGGAAGGAUUUGAGUAAGAGUUUUAACGGACGGACCCGAAAGACAGUGAACUAUGCUUGAAUAGGGUGAAGCCAGAGGAAACUCUGGUGGAGGCUCGCAGCGGUUCUGACGUGCAAAUCGAUCGUCAAAUUUGAGCAU
rnacentral:rRNA from 1 species